UACGGAGGGUGCAAGCGUUAAUCGGAAUUACUGGGCGUAAAGGGUGCGUAGGCGGUUUAAUAAGUUAAGUGUGAAAUAUCUGGGCUUAACCUGGAGAAGUCACUUAAGACUGUUAGACUUGAGUAUGGGAGAGGGUAGUGGAAUUUCCGGUGUAGCGGUGAAAUGCGUAGAGAUCGGAAGGAACACCAGUGGCGAAGGCGGCUACCUGGCCCAAUACUGACGCUGAGGCACGAAAGCGUGGGGAGCAAAC
rnacentral:rRNA from 1 species